rnacentral:rRNA from 1 species
AACGAACGCUGGCGGCAGGCCUCAUACAUGCAAGUCGAGCGGACGGACCCCUUCGGGGGCGAGUUAGCGGCGAACGGGUGAGUAACAGGUGGAUGAUCUGCCUCCCGGUGGGGGAUAACGGCUGGAAACGGCCGCUAAUACCGCAUUCGGUUGAUGCGUUGCGGCGCAUCAAAGAAAGGCGCUUCACGGCGCUGCCGGGAGAUGAGUCCGCCCCCCAUUAGCUAGUUGGCGGGAUAACAGCCCACCAAGGCUUCGAUGGGUAGCCGAACUGAGAGGUUGAUCGGCCACACUGGAACUGAGACACGGUCCAGACACCUACGGGUGGCAGCAGUAGGGAAUAUUGGGCAAUGGGCGAAAGCCUGACCCAGCCAUGCCGCGUGAGUGACGAAGGUCCUAUGGAUUGUAAAGCUCUUUUCUGAGGAAAGAACAUCCGGGGUAGGAAAUGACCCCGGCUUGACGGUACCUCAGGAAUAAGGAACGGCUAACUCCGUGCCAGCAGCCGCGGU